rnacentral:ncRNA from 1 species
ACAAAGGCAUUGAUUGUGCAGAGUAGUCGCAUAGUUUCUCAACAGAGAAGGAAGUCACCGGCUGAAAGCUUCCAGGAGUUCAGGUAUGCGGACGAAUUUCACACAGGAGCCGCAUCUCUGAACACAGAGUAGAGAGUAGGAGAUGACGCAGACUGCACGUUACGCAGAAGAGAGUCUUGAUAAAGAGAAAUUUGGGUGGUACCGCGGAAUAGAACUUCGUCCCUUUU